ACUGAGCAUGGUGGCAUAUGCCUGUAGUCCCAGCUAUUCAGGAGGCUGACAGGGGAGGAUUGCUUGAGCUCAGGAGUUCUGGGCUGUAGUGUCCUAUGCCAAUCGGGUGUCCACACUAAGUUCGGCAUCAGUAUAGUGACGUCCUGGGGGUGGGGGACCACCAGAUUGCCUAGCAAAGGGUGAACUGGCCCAGAUUGGAAUCGGAGCAGGUCAAAACUCCUAUGCUGAUCAAUAGUGGGAUCGUGCUUGGACAUAGCCACUGCAUGCCAGCCUGGGCAACAUAGUGAGGGCCCAUCUCUU
rfam:Nomascus leucogenys chromosome 5, whole genome shotgun sequence.